rnacentral:ncRNA from 2 species
CAACAGACCGGCACGGCAAACCCCACCGGGAGCAAGACCAAAUAGGGAGACGAUGAGGCGGCCCGCCGAGUCUCCGGGUAGGUUGCUUGAGCGUAGCGGUGACGCUGCGCCUAGAGGAAUGACUGCCGCGGCGCGCAAGCGUCGAACAGGACCCGGCUUAUCGGCCGGCUCCGCCG